rnacentral:lncRNA from 1 species
UGCUAUUGAAUGAUUGGAUUGUAGAUGUAGCCGCCCACAAGCCAGCAAUUGGUUUCAUUAUAGUUUGUUGAACAUCGCAAAAAUGAAUAUCUAGUCGGAUUUGAAUCUCCGUCCCACAUCCAUCGAUUGUGGGUUCUUCAUCCUGGAUUUAAAAUCUUCAGCCGCAUCUCCUGUCAUCAAUUGACUGGAUGGUGUUAGUUUGUGGGUCCCCUUAAAUUAGUCUCUAAUUCAAUUUGACGAUGACUUUCUGAGCGUUCUAAUCUAAUUGGGUGUGUGUGUUUAUUUCUGUCUAUGGGGAAAAAAAAAUAGUUGCCGAAUUUGAAUCCUAUAUUAAUUUAUUGAAUGAAAUUGUACCAUAUCUCGUGUUGAUAAUUGUUGAGAUCCUUUUGUUCCUAAUUGGAAUGAUACAAUUUUGCAUCCCUAAUGUUUUGCACAGAUUCUGAAUUUGUACCUUAACUUUUAUUUUGAAAAUUCUGCACUGUAAAGUUAUAAAUAUCUACUAUAUUGCACGCCGAACUUUUAUUCUAGACAGUUUACACCCUAACGGCACCAUUUAACUUAGAAUUCUUAUAACCUUGAGGUGUUAGUUGAAAAUAGCUGAAAAUAGAAGGGGUACGAAGCUUAUUAAACCCUUCUUAAUUUUCAAACACAAUUGGAGUAAGUAAAACAUGCGAGUCACUCGUUUAUACUUUCAAUUUUUGGAUUGAACAAUCAACAAAUUCAUUUUUCAUGCAAAAGCAUUUUGUCCCUAAAAAAAAAAAAAACUUAAAAGAAGAAAAGUAAAACGAAGUAAAGAGAGUUGAGUAGUCUAAGGGUCUGUAUAAACUGUAGCAGCACAGAAUUUUCCCCUCAAGGGCUAUUCUCAAGCUUAACAGGUCAAUAAAAAUGAUCCGCCAACGCGAUUGUUAUCAUUCAAAUAAGAUAAGAGGAUCGCUUUCGAUCACCUUAGAAACAAUUGAAUGAGAGAAAGAAAUAUGAGUAAUCUUUAGGAAGGCGG